GUACUCACCAUGGCAGCAUAUAUGCUAAAAUUGGGACAAUACAGAAAUUGCAUGGCCCCUGUUCAAGAUGACGUGAAAACCUGUGAGAUGUUAAAAAUUCAA
rnacentral:snRNA from 1 species